CUAGUACAUUAGUCCUUCUUGAAGAAAGUAAUUGGCACCUCAGAACAUUUGAGGAAUGUUGUUAUCGCAUGUUCAAUGGACAUAAUCUCUUGAAGGGCGAGCUUCUGGGACCACUUAGUAGCAGUACUCAGUGUGCCACCAAAAAUGACAUUGAUGGUGUUGGAUGCAUUCUGGAAUUGGUUGUUGUCACCAUUGUCUUCAUCUUCCUUGGCCUUG
rnacentral:lncRNA from 1 species